GUCAAGGUGUCCAUCAGAGCUAUGGUUGUCUGUGUGAUGAUGUCUAACAGUGGGAUGCCACUGCUGCCCUUGCAGCCUAGAAAGAGCCACUCCUGAGCAGAUAACAGUGCUGUCAUUAAGUUGUUUGGUACAUGCAAGAUAUGGAUACAAGUUUCUGCCUGAUUUCUAUACAAGUGCUUGUCUGGAGUUUUCUACAUCUCACACAAGACCCCAACUCCUUAAGUUGCUGGCCACUUCGACCCUGUCUAUGUCUCACCUUUUCACCAGAAAUUUAAAUCCAGGGCCUGCAAAACUGAAGAUCAAUGCAUAUAAACCCCA